rnacentral:rRNA from 1 species
GAUGAACGCUGGCGGUAUGCUUAACACAUGCAAGUCGAACGGACUCUUCGGAGUUAGUGGCGGACGGGUGAGUAACGCGUGAGAAUCUGGCUUUGGGUUCGGGACAACCACUGGAAACGGUGGCUAAUACCGGAUGUGCCGAGAGGUAAAAGAGAAAUUGCCUGAAGAUGAGCUCGCGUCUGAUUAGCUAGUUGGUGAGGUAAAGGCUCACCAAGGCAGCGAUCAGUAGCUGGUCUGAGAGGAUGACCAGCCACACUGGGACUGAGACACGGCCCAGACGCCUACGGGAGGCAGCAGUGGGGAAUUUUCCGCAAUGGGCGAAAGCCUGACGGAGCAAUACCGCGUGAGGGAAGAAGGCUCUUGGGGUGUAAACCUCUUUUCUUAGGGAAGAACAAAAUGACGGUACCUAAGGAAUCAGCAUCGGCUAACUCCGUG